ensembl:snRNA U6 U6 spliceosomal RNA
GAUAGGCAAAGCGUGUUCCCUUUAUCAGUGUGCAAGAAUGGAAUGAUGCUGAGAAAACUAAAUUGGUACCUGUGCAAGGAAGGCAUGAAAAUUCAUGAAGUGAUCCAUAUUUUA